rnacentral:lncRNA from 1 species
CUGUGACCCGGCCGGGCAGUUGGGGCGGGGGAGUCGGGCGGUGGGUCGGAGGAUGCUUGUGCCUGUGGGCUCCGCGGCCAAAUACGGCGCUGGUCGCCUCGUCUUGGAGGUGUCCUGCCAUUUAUGAUGACUCUUACCAGUGCAGUUACUUCUUGCUGUUCCUCUGCCUCCUUCUUGUCUUUUAAAGCCUGCACUGGUAGGUCUCGCUGGAGACAGAAGACCCCGAAAUGGGUCCUGGUGCUCCUAGACGACCGCGAGAGAGAAGAGUGGGGUUGAGGGUGGAGACGGGUGCAUCUAGAAAGGAGUCCGCCCUGAAGAGUCCUCGAUCAGCUGUCAUCCAGCCGGCAGCAGAGCAAGUUAAUGCUACAUAGCUUAGAAGAGACCCAAUUCCCAAACAAGCCAGUGACAUUCAGCCUAGAGUCCAGGAGUGCUUGAGGCUUUUAUCACUCGUGACGUCAAAAAGGUUCAUUUGAUGCCUGGAUGCUUACCUCACCGGCGUGUGGUACACUUCAGAUGCCAAAUGAUGUUGAUUUCAAACCUGUGGUUAACAACAGAAGCCGAGUUUUCGCUUAAAACUCUCACCUCAAGAAAACUCCUUCACAGGUCCUGAUACGUGGGCCCACCAAUAAACCACCGAGACCUCUUUGCCUCAGAUUUGAAACAUUGGCUAAACAGCGUUAAAUUUCCUAGUCAACUGGGAAUGACAAGUCUAAAUAACAAAUGAAACUUGAAGCACACAAGUUUUGCUGCCUAAUUGCUCAUUCUUAAGCAAUAUAGCUUAGGCCUGUUUUUGAACUCUGCGUCAAUGGAAUCAUAGAGCUCUGCCUGAAAUGUCUAAGACGGAUGGUUUGUCCUUAAAAUUCACCAGGGACAGAGAUUCUACAAUAUCACUCUGGAGCCUUUUCUAAUGUUUAAUCACUAUUACUGUCAGUAUAAGCUUGGUCAUCCUGAGUUCCAGCCAUCAGGGAGGAGAAAGACAGCAUGGAUGAAGCUAUCCCAGGCCCAGAAGUGGCACACGUCACUUCCACUCCAUUCUGCUGAAGAGAACCUGGUUACCAUCACACUCAACAUAGGAGGCUGGGAGACAUAGUCUGAACAUGUCCCAAGAAGAAAAGGAGAAUGGAUUUGGGGGACCAGAUACCCAACUUCUGCUUCCCAUUUUGUCACACAGAAAAAUUAAGUAAAAGAAGAAAACGCAACCUCAAAGACGGGACCAUCUUUUAAAUAUUCUCACUAUAAUCUGUAUAUUAAAAAUGGAGUUCAGGGAAAACACCAUUCCUCUGAAAUUAAAUAAAUUGUGCAUUGUGUUUAAAGAAAGGGUGAAGGAGAUAUGAUUGUCAGAUGUUCAAAUCUUGAGUUGACUGCUGGGUCCAGAUUAUGGGGCUCAAAGCUAAAGUGAAUGAAAUAGUCCAAAGCAAUUCCACUGCAUCUGCCAUUGCAAG